UGAUGCAUUUUUUGGGAAGGGCAAAUCUGGUUUUAGAGUAUUUAAGCAUUGCAUAAAUUGCAAGAUUGCCCAUUUACAAUAGGACUCAACUCUGAUUGACCGCAACAUCUACAGUGGUACAAAUAUAUUAUUGAAUUCUUCAGGAAGGCAGUGAGUUGCUGCGCAACAGCCUUUUCUAAAAUUUUUGAGAGGAAUGGAAGAUUCGAUAUAGGCCGAUAGUUUUUUAUAUUUUCUGGGUCAAGGUUUGGCUUUUUCAAGAGAGGCUUUAUUACUGCCACUUUUAGUGAGUUUGGUACACAUCCGGUGGAUAGAGAGCCGUUUAUUAUGUUCAACAUAGGAGGGCCAAGCACAGGAAGCAGCUCUUUCAGUAGUUUAGUUGGAAUAGGGUCCAGUAUGCAGCUUGAAGGGUUAUAGGCCAUGAUUAUUUUCAUCAUUGUGUCAAGAGAUAUAGUACUAAAACACUUGAGCGUCUCUCUUGAUCCUAGGUCCUGGCAGAGUUGUGCAGACUCAGGACAACUGAGCUUUGAAGGAAUACGCAGAUUUAAAGAGGAGUCCAGGACCUGAGCCCUAGGACCAUGCCUCAGGACUACCUGACAUGAUGACUCCUUGCUGUCCCCACUCCACCUGGCCGUGCUGCUACUCCAGUUUCAACUGUUCUGCCUUAUUAUUAUUGGACCAUGCUGGUCAUUUAUGAACAUUUGAACAUCUUGGCCAUGUUCUGUUAUAAUCUCCACCUGGCACAGCCAGAAGAGGACUGGCCACCCCACAUAGCCUGGUUCCUCUCUAGGUUUCUUCCUAGGUGUUUGGCCUUUCUAGGGAGUUUUUCCUAGCCACUGUGCUUCUACACCUGCAUUGCUUGCUGUUUGGGGUUUUAGGCUGGGUUUCUGUACAGCACUUUGAGAUAUCAGCUGAUGUACGAAGGGCUAUAUAAAUACAUUUGAUUUUGAUUUUGAUUUGAUUAAAAAAACUGUUUUAAAAUGUUUAUGUUUAUUAAGUAAUCUUGCUUGUCUCAGAACAGUGCAAAAUGGUGCGGAAAUAGUUAGGGUUAGGGUUAGGCUUCAAAUCCUAUCAGUUUCAGUAAGGAACCAUUUGUUGCCUUCAUUAGCCUACUUUAUUCUUAAAGACAGAGCAGAGAAAAGAAAAGAGCCUUUAACAAUUAAACAAUAAAGUGAUUGAAUUCACAAAUGCAUUUGACUGUUUUUCAUAUUGGCCAUCAACCAAAACACACCGUGGUAGAAAUGUUAUUGAAUUCGAUAUAUUUU
ensembl:lncRNA